rnacentral:piRNA from 1 species
UAACGAUGUUAGCUAUAACUGGACUUGC